GUCUCCCUUCCUCCCGAUCCUCACUCCGCCAAUCCCCUCUCUUCCUCCUGUCGCCCCCAUGGCGCCGCUGCCCCUGCCUCCUCACCUCCCGUGGCCCUGCCCUCCCCGUCGCGUCUCUUCUCUCCAUCGUCAGUCGCGGAAGCCGCCACCAUGCUCGAGAGCGCGGCGCCGGCUCUCGAUCCGUCCGGCAGAAGCAGACGCUCGAUGCAGCGCUCCCCCGUCCCUCCCCCUCCUGCAUCAGCUGCAGGCGCUCGAUUCAGUGCUCUCCCGUCGCUCCUCCUCCUCCAUUGCCGGGAGGGGCGCGGCCUUCUUUGCGCCGCUGCUCCAGCCCCCCCUGCUCCAACCCUAACCCUAGCGUUGCUGCUGCUGGUCAAGGUGCACACGCGUCCAGGUGGCCAAGGUGUCUCCUCUACCACUUCAGACGUGUUUAGUCAGAUCCAGAAGGUGGAAUUCAGCUUUCUCAUUGGAACAGUCAGAAGUGCAAAAGUCUACAGAGAUUUAAAUGUGAGUUAAACCUAUUACUUGGGGCCUCGGAUAUAUGCUUCAGAAUCAUGCAUUUUUUUUUGCGAACUGAUGCAUGGUGCCUACUGACCAACCUGAAUUGUGUGCAUGGGGCCAUAAGUAUGAGACCUGUUCGUGUCUGUCAGUCAAGGUUAGAGUGGUCCUGCAGCUAUUUACUUAACCGCACAAUUUACGGAUGGCAUACUUAACUGCAAAAUUUAAGGAUAUUUGAGCAUGUGCUUCACACCAGGCAGUAAUAAUUAGAAAAAGGGAGUAGAGAUGGAACUCCUAACUUAUUGACAUCCAAGUAUACUUUUUCUGUUCUAUGUAGCUAAUGGUGUUUUUCCGAUGCGGUUCUUCUCACCAAGAUUGACCGAGUAUUUUAAACUGGUACUCAUCGUUUUCCUAUCCGUUUAGAAUCUUUGCUGAGCCUGAACUUUUUUCUUAAUUAUUUUCAUCUGCUUAGCCUUGCCACAUCAUCUCUUAAAAAUAGUUUGAAUCAAUCGGCUGUGUGCUCUGCCUUUGCAAUUCAUUGAACCUUAAGAUCAAAAUCUGCGUAAGUUGUUGAGCCUGAACUUUUCUUCUUACUUAUUUUCAUCAUGUUAGCCUUGCCACAUCAUCUCUUAAAAGUAGUUUGAAUCCAUCAGCUGUGUGCUCUGCCUCUGCAAUUCAUUGAACUUAAGAUCAAAACCUUUGUAAGUUGUAGCCCUGUUUCCAACUACAUCGUGAAUACUAACAUUUGCGUUGGAAAAAGAAGAAAGAUUGAAUCAUAGUUUGCACUAAAUGAAAAUGAUAGUUGUUUUUUAUAUUUUGUUCACUCACUGGGAGGGUCACUAUUUAUAUGCUUGCUUCAACUUUUUCCGUACCACCAUGGAAAUCAUUUGUACAGGAGUUCUGGAACAAGGAAUACAAUAAUCACAAGGAUGGAGGCUGAAUAAGGCAGGUCAUGGAAGGCCUUUGAUUUGUUGGAUCAGUCUGCCCUACUGCUAACAAGACGAAGGAAGAAAAGAAAUUUAAGGCAAGAACUGGUGUUGUUGCUGCUAAGAAGAAGAUCGAGCAAGUUAACAAGAAGAAAUCAUUAGGAAGACAAUGGGGAGCCAUGUGAAAGAUUCAGAUUCCUCCUACUACCUGCGCCCCGGUUGCACACACAUUGGCCCCAGUACCAAGCUCAAGCUCAAGAUUUGGAAACAAGCAGGACUUUGAAGAACAUGGCAUGACUUUGCUUUCUAGGAUCAGUCUGCUCUCCCUCCUAACAAGACCAAGGAAGAAAAUAAGUUUAAGGGAAGAACCAGUGCUUCUAAGAACAAGAUCGAGCAAGCCAACAAGAAGUGUUACUUUGAUUUGCUCCCUCACUUUAGUGCUUCAUACACAAAAAGCAAUGGAGGUCUCCAAGGCCCCUUCCUCUUCUGGUUUGGCAACCCGCCAUCCCCCCAAAGGUUAGUACUCCUAAUCACCGAGAAUUCCUUUAUUGGUUAACCGUGAACGUCUCCAAGAAGCAUAGAGGUUAGGUUAUGCAAUGGUUUCCCUGCUUAUGCCCAGAGAUUCUUGAGACAUGGCACAGUGCCAAUGCGGUGUGCUUCGAUGUGGAAGCACUGUAUGCUUGGAUGAGGGUAUUGUCGAGCUUGCUGAUUUCUGUGGGGCUGGGCAGGCGGUUGCCGAGUGGAAGACAAAGCAAUUGUCACAGUUUCUGGGGUAUGUUAGUUGUUUAGCAUAUAAUAUCUUCCAAAAAACUAAUCUUGGCCUUAUCAGUCUCAGGGCGAUGACAGGGACCGUUCCAUUUGAUGAGGCUCUUGCUGCCUGGAUCUCUUUAAGUAAGCCAUCUCUGUCCCAAGUUGAGGACCGUUUGGAGAAGAGGCCACCCAGGAUUUCUCAACGCUGAUUUUAUCAAGACAUUAAAAACCAAUAAUAUUGAAGUAUUCCUUGUGUCUGGAGGUAUCCGGCAAAUGAUCAAGAUCAGCAUCUGUGUGUGCCGCUGCUUGCGAGGGACAAAAAAGAGGUCGAUUUGAAAUUGUGCACUUCUAUCCUUUCUACUAACGCAUCAUAGCAUCUGAUCUGUACCCACGUCGUUGGGACCGGCAUCCUCGCGCCAAGGCGCGAUCACGAUGUAGUGGGAGAAGAUUUGUGGGCUUUUUGUAAUUUACCCGUAGGUUUAGCAUUUGCCUUUAUUAUAUCAACACCAUCAUAUGCUUCUUAGUUAAUUUUUUUAAAAUGUUUAAAUUCAAAUUUAUUGAAAUUUGUUAGGAGUAACAACAUUUUGCAUGCAUGAAAGUAGCCCCAACAAACUAUGUUAUGCCUAAGACUUUAGUUAUCUAUUCUGGGUUGCGGAUCA